GACGAACGCUGGCGGCGUGCUUAACACAUGCAAGUCGAACGGAAAGGCCCUGCUUUUGUGGGGUGCUCGAGUGGCGAACGGGUGAGUAACACGUGAGUAACCUGCCCUUGACUUUGGGAUAACUUCAGGAAACUGGGGCUAAUACCGGAUAGGAGCUCCUGCUGCAUGGUGGGGGUUGGAAAGUUUCGGCGGUUGGGGAUGGACUCGCGGCUUAUCAGCUUGUUGGUGGGGUAGUGGCUUACCAAGGCUUUGACGGGUAGCCGGCCUGAGAGGGUGACCGGCCACAUUGGGACUGAGGUACGGCCCAGACUCCUACAGGAGGCAGCAGUGGGGAAUAUUGCACAAUGGGCGGAAGCCUGAUGCAGCAACGCCGCGUGCGGGAUGACGGCCUUCGGGUUGUAAACCGCUUUCGCCUGUGACGAAGCGUGAGUGACGGUAAUGGGUAAAGAAGCACCGGCUAACUACGUG
rnacentral:rRNA from 1 species